CCCGCACCCGGGUCCCUCCACCCCACCCUGCUCCGCGCCAUGACCCACGUGUACAGAGGCUGCAGUUGUAAAUGCGACGUCUUCUGGGGCGCCUGGUAUCCAUAGGAGUCAAAACCGCCGAUGAAAUCAACUGUGGAAGGGCAGAUGGCACGUGGUUAGAGAUGGGCCUGUGACGGGGCACCACACUUCUUGUGGGAUCCUAGUUCCCUGACCAGGGAUCGAACCCGGGCCCCGGCAGUAAAAGUGCCGAGUCCUAACCACUGGACCGCCAGGGAAUUCCCUCCAGAAGACUUUAUAUAAGUAAGGUCUGCUUCACACCUGGGUUGUUGUAACAGCUUCCUUUCCUGGCUGGAUUUGUGAAAGAGAACACCUUGUGAAAGAGCUCAAGCCGACCUGCUGGAGGAAGAGAGGCCACAGGGAAAAGAACCAAGGCACCCCAGCUGACAGCCAGUCAACCGUCAACACACACGAGUGAGGUCAUCCUAGAUCAUUCAGAUGCUAGCCAACCCACCAACUGACCAAAGACAGGUCGCCAGACCAAAAAAUCUCCCAGCUGACCCACA